rnacentral:rRNA from 1 species
CACAGGUGCUGCAUGGCCGUCGUCAGCUCGUGUCGUGAGAUGUGGGUUAAGUCCCGUAACGAGCGCAACCCUUAUCCCUAGUUGCCAGCACAUUAUGGUGGGAACUCUAGGGAGACUGCCGGUGACAAACCGGAGGAAGGUGGGGAUGACGUCAGGUCAUCAUGGCCCUUACGGCCAGGGCUACACACGUGCUACAAUGGCGCGCACAGAGGGCUGCAAACCCGCGAGGGGGAGCUAAUCUCACAAAACGCGUCGUAGUCCGGAUCGCAGUCUGCAACUCGACUGCGUGAAGUCGGAAUCGCUAGUAAUCGUGAAUCAGAAUGUCACGGUGAAUACGUUCCCGGGCCUU